rnacentral:rRNA from 1 species
CGGCGAACGGUCGAGUGACACGUAACCGACCUGCCGUUUUGGGUCGUGGGAUAGCCCCCCGAAAGGGGGAGUAAUACCGGAUGGUCUCGUAGAAGUGCAUGCUUUUAUGAGUAAAGCUUUAUGUGCCCAUAGAGGGGGUUGCGGCCUAUCAGCUGGUUGGUGAGGUAACGGCUCACCAAGGCGACGACGGGUAGCUGGUCUGAGAGGGUGGUCCCCCACACUGGAACUGACAAACGGUCCAG